AGACGGAGAUUCGUCAAGCCUUUAUUGACUUAUUGGCGGACGGGUGAGUAACGCGUGAGCAACCUGCCUUUCAGAGGGGGACAACAGUUGGAAACGACUGCUAAUACCGCAUAAUGUACAGAGGGGGCAUCCCUUUUGUAUCAAAGGAGAAAUCCGCUGAAAGAUGGGCUCACGUCUGAUUAGCUAGUUGGUGGGGUAAAGGCCUACCAAGGCUGCGAUCAGUAGCCGGACUGAGAGGUUGAACGGCCACAUUGGGACUGAGAUACGGCCCAGACUCCUACGGGAGGCAGCAGUGGGGAAUAUUGGGCAAUGGGCGAAAGCCUGACCCAGCAACGCCGCGUGAAGGAAGAAGGUCUUCGGAUUGUAAACUUCUUUUAUGAGGGACGAAGGAAGUGACGGUACCUCAUGAAUAAGCCACGGCUAACUACGUGCCAGCAGCCGCGGUAAUACGUAGGUGGCAAGCGUUAUCCGGAUUUACUGGGUGUAAAGGGCGCGUAGGCGGGGAUGCAAGUCAGAUGUGAAAUCUAUGGGCUUAACCCAUAAACUGCAUUUGAAACUGUAUCUCUUGAGUGUCGGAGAGGUAGAUGGAAUUCCUUGUGUAGCGGUGAAAUGCGUAGAUAUAAGGAAGAACACCAGCGGC
rnacentral:rRNA from 1 species